rnacentral:rRNA from 1 species
UAGAUACCCGGGUAGUCCCAGCCGUAAACGCUGCCUGUUUGGUGUUGCGUGUCUUUCGGAGGUAUGCAGCGCCGUAGCGAAGGUGUUAAACAGUCCGCCUGGGAAGUACGGUCGCAAGGCUGAAACUUAAAGGAAUUGGCGGGGGAGCACUGCAACCUGAGGAUUGUGCGGUUUAAUUGGAUUCAACGCCGGAAAACUCACCAUAGCCGACGGACAAAUGAAGGCCAGCGUAACGAGCUUGCUGGAUUGUUCGAGAGGUAUUGCAUGGCCGUCGUCAGUUCGUACCGUAAGGCGUUCUGUUAAGUCAGAUAACGAACGAGACCCUCGUCCCUAUUUGCCAACCAGGUCCCCGGAUCUGGCGCACUAUAGGGAGACUGCCCGCGCUAAGUGGGAUGAAGGGGAGGGCAACGGUAGGUCAGUAUGAUCCGAAUGCUAUGGGCUACACGCGCAAUACAAAGGACGGGACAAUGGGCUGCAACUCCGAGAGGAACGACGCUAUCCCGAAACCCGUUCGUAGUUCGGAUUGAGGGCUGUAACUCGCCCUCAUGAAGCUGGAUUAGGUA